GUUGAAACACCAGUUCUAAUAUGAUCACCAAAGUUAAGCAACAUAGAGCCUGGUCAGUACUUUGAUGGUUGACCACUUGGGAAUACUAGGUGGUGUA